ACAACAAUUCAAAACAUAUAUUAUAUAAAUAAUCAAUCAUCCAAACAUUAUACCAAAAUUAUCAUUCGAAGAUAACCAAAAUGCUAAGUAAAAUAAAUCUAUAUAAAAAAAAUACCACGAACCAAUCUGCCCAUACAACAUCUUACGAAACUAAUUCUGUCCAUGUCAACACCACUCAACAGAUCCACGUACCCGCAAUAGUUCCAGCAAGAGUACCUGAGAUUGAGAGCCGUCGCGUUAGCUUUCAAGUUUCAACUAAUAGCAAGUAGACGAAAAAUUAGAAGUAAAACAAGAAACAACUGCAAAAAUGUUACAAGUUACAACCAGAGCGAGCUCACAAAAGAGUUAACAUGCAAAAAAUUUCAGAGUGUAGGAACAUCUUAUAAGGUUGCACAUUGCCA
rnacentral:lncRNA from 1 species